GAUGAACGCUGGCGGCGUGCCUAACACAUGCAAGUCGAGCGAGAUGUAUAUGGACGAAACUUCGGUCUAGGAAAUAUAUUGACAGCGGCGGACGGGCGAGUAACGCGUAGGCAACCUGCCCUUAACACAGGGAUAGCCUCGGGAAACGGGGAUUAAAACCUGAUAAUGCCAAAUAGUCACAUGGCUGUUUGGCCACAGAUUUAUCGGUUGAGGAAGGGCCUGCGUCUGAUUCGUUUGUUGGUGGGGUGACGGGCUACCAAGACUACGAACAGUGGCCAACCUGCGAGGGUGAUCGGACACAUUGGAAGUUAGACACGGUCCAAACGCCUACGGGGGGCAGCAGUGGGGAAUAUUGGACAAUGGGCGAAAGCCUGAUGCAACAACGCCGCGUGAGCGAUGAAGGCCUUUGGGUCGUAAAGCUCUGUCCUUGGGGAAGAAAAAAAUGACGGUACCCAAGGAGGAAGCCCCGGCUAACUACGUGCCAGCCGCCGCAGUAA
rnacentral:rRNA from 1 species